CACCGCGGUUAUACGAAGAGGCUCAAAUUGAUAAUCCACGGCGUAAAGCGUGGCUAGAGAUAAACAAACACUAAAGCCGAACAUCCCCCUAACUGUUAUACGUUUAAAGGGACAUGAAGCCCCACAACGAAAGUAGCUUUAACCCAAGAUCUUGAGCCCACGAAAACUAAGAAA
rnacentral:rRNA from 1 species